UACAGAGGGUGCGAGCGUUAAUCGGAAUUACUGGGCGUAAAGCGUGCGUAGACGGCUAUCUAAGUCGGGUGUGAAAGCCCCGGGCUCAACCUGGGAAUUGCAUUCGAGACUGAAUAGCUAGGGUACGGUAGAGGGAAGUGGAAUUUCCGGUGUAGCGGUGAAAUGCGUAGAUAUCAGGAGGAACACCGGUGGCGAAGGCGGAUCUCUGGGCCUUACCUGACGCUCAGGUGCGAAAGCUAGGGGAGCGAACAGG
rnacentral:rRNA from 1 species